AAUCUUGGACAAUGGGGGAAAGCCUGACGCAGCCUUGCCGCGUGAAUGAUGAAGGUCUUAGGUUUGUAAAAUUCUUUCACCGGGGACGAUAAUGACGGUACCCGGAGAAGAAGCCCCGGCUAACUUCGUGCCAGCAGCCGCGGUAAUACGAAGGGGGCUAGCGUUGUUCGGAAUUACUGGGCGUAAAGCGCACGUAGGCGGAUCGGUCAGUUAGGGGUGAAAUCCCAGGGCUCAACCCUGGAACUGCCUUUGAUACUGGCGAUCUUGAGUAUGAGAGAGGUAUGUGGAACUCCGAGUGUAGAGGUGAAAUUCGUAGAUAUUCGGAAGAACACCAGUGGCGAAGGCGACAUACUGGCUCAUUACUGACGCUGAGGCGCGAAAGCGUGGGGAGCAAACA
rnacentral:rRNA from 1 species